GACGUAGGGCGCGAGCGUUGUCCGGAUUUAUUGGGCGUAAAGAGCUCGUAGGCGGCUUGUUGCGUCGGCUGUGAAAACCCGCAGCUCAACUGUGGGCUUGCAGCCGAUACGGGCAGACUAGAGGUAGGUAGGGGAGAAUGGAAUUCCCGGUGUAGCGGUGAAAUGCGCAGAUAUCGGGAGGAACACCGGUGGCGAAGGCGGUUCUCUGGGCCUUACCUGACGCUGAGGAGCGAAAGCGUGGGGAGCGAACAGG
rnacentral:rRNA from 1 species